GUGCUCACCUGGGCAGCACAUACACUAAAAUUGGAACGAUACAGAGAUUAGCAUGGGUCUUGCAUGAGGAUGACACGCAAAUUCGUGAAGAGUUCCAUAUUAAA
rnacentral:snRNA from 1 species